rnacentral:rRNA from 1 species
GUGCCAGCCGCCGCGGUAAUACGGGGGGGGCCAGCGUUGUUCGGAAUUACUGGGCGUAAAGGGCGCGUAGGCGGCCUUCUAAGUCAGACGUGAAAUCCCUCGGCUCAACCGGGGAACUGCGUCUGAUACUGGAAGGCUUGAAUCCGGGAGAGGGAUGCGGAAUUCCAGGUGUAGCGGUGAAAUGCGUAGAUAUCUGGAGGAACACCGGUGGCGAAGGCGGCAUCCUGGACCGGUAUUGACGCUGAGGCGCGAAAGCCAGGGGAGCAAACGGGAUUAGAAACCCCCGUAGUCC